UUGAAGCAUACCACACAAUUAAAAGAAAAGACAAUGCAUUUGAGGUGAUCUUCAUCUCAAGUGACAGCGAUCAAUCCACCUUUGACGAGUUCUAUUCAGAAAUGCCUUGGUUAGCCCUUCCAUUUGGUGAUGAAAGGAAACAAAUCCUGAGUCGGAAAUUCAAAAUUCAAGGCAUUCCUGCAGCUGUAGCGAUUGGCCCAAGUGGCCGGACCAUUACCAAGGAAGCUCGGAUGCACCUGACAGCUUACGGGGCAGAUGCUUUUCCAUUUACCGAGGAACAUCUAAAGCAAUUGGAGGAGGAGAUUGAGGAAAAGGCAAAGGGGUGGCCAGAGAAAGUGAAACACGAACUUCAUACUGAGCAUGAGCUGUUACGUACUAAACGCAAAACAUAUAUUUGCGAUGGCUGUGGGGAAACAGGAAAUAGUUGGUCUUUCCAUUGCAAAGAAUGUGACUUUGAUCUUCACCCCAAGUGUGCUUUGAAGGAAGAUGAAGAUACUGGAAGUGAAAAGGGAAAUGAAGGAUGGAACUGCGAUGGAGAUGUGUGCCGCCGAGCCUAAGCAGGCAAGCGCUCCUUGUAUCUGGUUUUUUGGGCUUUCUGCUGUAAUAAGCGUGCGAUGUAAGGUGUUUGUUGCAUGUGUGUGAAGAUGUGGAUGUCUUUCCUGUUAUUGAUAUGUAAUUAAGAGGUGUGUUGCUUAAGGAUUUUCAUGUCCUGUAUUUCGAUACGAAGAAUAAAUAACCGGAUUGGCUAGGUUUAUGUGAAUCCUGUGACCCAUUUGAAACUUGGGAAUCCAUGGUUGCUUGUUGUUCUCAAAUCUCCAUCACUUGUUAUGAGGUUUUCGUCAUUCGUAGAGGAAAAUGCUUAUCAGUCCUGUCUAAAAAUUGGUUCCAUUGCGCCACUCUCUUUAUUCUUUUUGGCUGGAUGAAGCAGCAGCAGCUUCACCUCCGGUGCAAAUAUUCCUGUAAUUGUUUUGCAGAUUAAAAAAAAAGAGGGCUGAUUGUGACUUAACCAACAUUAUACUAUGAAACCUUUCUUAACUGAUGUGUACUUGACAAUGAAAUCGAGCAUGUGGAAAUUGACAAAUAAAAAAUAAUAUUAUUAUAAUAUAUUUUUAAAUAAAAAAUAUUUUAAAAAAUCCAUCAACAAUAAGCAAAGGACGGAUAGGAUUAAUGGCUAGCCAGGAGAAGUUAGCAAAAGCCAACAACUGUACCCAGACUGCUGACUCCUCCCCUCACAUGCCAAGAAAAGAUUCCCAUAAAUUUAAUGCUUUCCUUCUUGAUUCGCUUGAAAUCAUAUUAUUUGAUCCGUAAAGUAUAAUUAGUAACCCUUCGUCUCAUCAGUAAGGGACGGCAGCCCAAGCUUUCUUAUUAUCUUAUAGAAUCUUUUUUGAUGUGUAUGAAUUAAUAUUUUUUUUUUUAUAUAUAAUUCCAUGGAUAAGAUCGAAGUUUAGAAUAUACUGCCUAUCACGACAGCAUCAAAAUUUGUAGACCCACCACCUCUCAAUGGCCCCACCAGGUUGAUAAGAAAAAUUCUAAACAAAGAAUUCGACUUCAUGAUUUUCAUGAGUUUGUAUUUUAUAAAAUGCUUCUAUUCUCCAUAUUCGAAUCACAAAUUUAAAAAAUUAAACUGAUUGAUUUAGUUUUUUUUACAAUUAAUAUUUUUAUUUUAUUUUUUUAUAGAAUUAUCUUGAUUUUAUGUAUUAAGUCAUGAGUUUUUUAGUUUGAUCCAAGUUGCCUACAACCAAUUUUUUUUCUUCAAUUUAUUUGUUAUUGUUAUUUUUUUAAUUAUAUUAUUAAAUUAAUUAAGAUUAUUGAAUCCAAUAUUAAAUGACUAAGCAUUUUUUGCGAUGAAAAAAAUAAUAAUCCUGCUCUUGACGUGGCUACCAAUCUAAUGGUCAUUAAAACUCAAAUUUCCAUCAUCAUGGUUUUAAAAAAAACCAAACCUUUUUUUUGGCCGAGGAAAGUUAGUUACUUUUGUGUUUAUUCCCUUCAAUUUUUAAAGAACAUGAAACUAUUAACUAGUUGACCCGCGCUGUGUUAUGCAUCGAGUUGAAAAUUUUCAACAUAAAAAAGAAUAUACAUACAUUGCAAUGUGUUUUGUAAUAGAAGAAAUGAUAAUUGUGAACUCCAGGCUCAAAGCACUCGUCUAAUAAUUGUUAUGCAUCUCUUUGUUUCGAUUUGGCUGGAUGAAGAAACUUCACCUUUGGAGCAAAUAUUCCUGUAAUUGUAGUCACCCUUCUUCUCUUGUUAUUGUGAAUCUCAUCCUUAGUAAAGGGAUGUAAGCCCAAGCUGCGCGGAUAUAUAGCGCUGUUUGGAGUAGCUUUCUAAACUGAGUUUUUUUUAAAAAUAUGAAUUGAUUUUUCUAUUUUUUUUAUUUUUUAAUCAUUUUAAAUUUUAAUAUUAAAAAUAAUUUAUAAAAAAUAAAAAAUAAAAAAAAUAUUAUUUUCAUAUAUUUAUAUAUAAAAAAUACUUUAAAAAUAAUCUCCACAAUAAUCCUAUACACACGCUAUAGUUUGAUAACUAUUAUAUUGGCCCAUGUUCCGCAACGAGUCAAUAAUAAAUUUUUUUUUAUCAAAUGUAGAUAAUAUUUUAAGUGUCUUAGGGUCUGACAAAAAGACUUACAGCUUCUAGCCCUUACUGAUUAGCCGGACCCAAUGCUGAUAAAUCCAAUUGGCAACAGAACCCAUCGCUGAUUGGUCUAGCUAUGCCAGACCCAAAGCUUUUGGGUCCUGUUGGGUGCAAAACCCAACGCUGAUAAAUCCAACUGGCAAUAGAACCCAUUGUUGAUGGGUCUAGCUACGCCAGACCCAAAGCUUUUGGGUCCUGCUGAGUGCAGGACCCAACACUGAUGGGUGUUGGGUCCUGCUGGCAGCAAAUACAAACCCUAUUGGGUGUAAAGUUGGUAGUAGGACCCAACCCAAUUGGAUGCAAAGUUGGUUGUAGCUAUAGAGCCACACCUAAUAACUAUGGGUAUGGUUGUGCAACCAUAUCCAAUAUCUUUGGGUCUGGCUACAGAGCCGCACCAAAAGCCUACUUGUAGUUUUUUUCUUGGCAGAGAUAAUUAAUAAUAAUAAUUUAUUUUACUUUUCAAAUUAAAUUUAUAUAUUUUUUUAAAUAGAAAUAAAAUUCAUUGCAAAUUUAAUAUAUUCAUGAAUUUAAUAAAAUUUAUAAUAUUAUUAAAUUUGUUUGGCCUAAGUUUUUAUAGUUUUUAACCCUUUCAAAUAAAAUUUAUUAUUUUUCUUUGAUAGUAAUAAUAUUGUUUUUCAAAUUCAUUAAUGAUAAUAAUAAUAAUAAUUUUUAAUUUUACUCUUCAAAUCAAAUAUAUGGUUGUUUUUCAAUAUUAAUGAUAUUUUUUUCAAAUUUAUUAAUUAUUAUAUUAAUAAUAUUAACUAUAAUAAAAAUAAUAAUAUUUAUAAUACAAAUAAUAAUAUUAAACUUGUUUGAUUCAAGUUUUUAUAUUUUUUAAUCUCUUCAAAUAAAAUUUAUGGUUUUUCUUCAAUAGUGAUAAUUUUUUUCUUUGAAUUUAUUAAUGAUACAAAUAACAAUAAAAAUAAUAUAAUAAUAAUAAUAUUUCCUCUUUACCCUUCGAGAAAAAAAAUAAGAUAAAAAAAAACACAUUAUAAUAUUGAGUCCUGCUAGUGGCAGGACCAACGCUUUUUGAUGGGCCUUGAUUGCCGCAGAACCGAAAGAUAAUGGGUCUUACAUGACCCAAUACCGAUGGGACCUGGAGGACCCAACGUCAUAGGAUCUUGCUGGCAACAAGACCUCAUGCCAUCGGGUCCAGGUGGUAGCAUGACCUAUCAGCCAAGACGUAAUGUUUGACUUACAAACAACAAAGAUAAUGCAUUUUAAUAUAGUAAAUAAAAAUAUAAUAUAUAAUAAGUAUAAUGUUUUAGAAAUAAUACAAAAUUAUGAAAAUAAUAUUAAUUUGAAGUAAAAAAAAUAAAUAAAUAAAAUUUAAAUUUCUCGGGUCUCGGCUCUUAGCCAAACACAAUCUGAAUAUAUACUUUUUAAGAAAAUAUUAAUAAUAAUAUAUAACUUGUCUGGCUCAAGUUCAUAUAUUUUUUAAUCUAUUCAAAAAAUAAUUAUGGUUUUUCUUUCAUAGUAAUAAUUUUUUUUAAAACUUUAUUAAUGAUGAUGAUAAUAAUAAUUUUUAUGUUUACAAUUCAAAUCAAAUCUAUUGUUGUUUUUCAAUAUUAAAUUUGUUUUUCAAAUUUGUUAAUUACUAUAUUAAUAAUAUUAAUUAUAAUAAAAAUAAGAAUAAUUUUAAUAUUAACAAUAUUAAUUAUAAUAAAAAUAACAACAUUUAUAAUACAAAUAAUAAUAUUUUUAAUAUUUAUAACAAUAUUAAACUUAUCAAAGAGUAAGUGGGUCUGAUUGCAACAUCAGGUCCAAGAGCUUUGCUCCCCUUAUAAAUGUCAGACCCAAGAGUAUUGGAUUUGGUUGCAAUCCGAACCUAUUAAAGCUGCAGCAUCAUUAAGUCAUGCUUGACAUAAUGAACCAACAACUAGGUACCCAUUGUGACCCAACAUCAUUGGGUCAUGCUUAACAGAAGGACCCAAUAGUGUUGGGUCCAGCUAGGCAGUUGAGUCUGGUAGCAGGGCCCACCGUUGCUGGGUCCUAGUUGCAGCAUGUUCCAACUUUAGUGGAUCCUGCUUGCAAGAGCAUUGGGUUGUCUAAAAAGAAAGACCCUUGAGCUUGGGGCCUGUCCUUUCAGCCAAACCCAAGCUUGGCUUCGAACGCCCGACACAAGUAUCUUGAGUCCGGUGCAACUGCAAGACCCAAGAGACUUGGAUCUGCGCUCCUACCUCUCCCAAGCAACUUCAAUCCAGUGUCCCUUUCCGGCCCCAAGUUUCUCGGGUCUGGAAGGGGAUGUCAAACCCAAGUUAAUAAUAAUAGUAAUAAUUUUUAAUUUUAAUCUUCAAAUCAAAUCUAUGGUUGUUUUUCAAUAUUAAUGAUAUUUUUUUCAAAUUUAUUAAUUAUUAUAUUAAUAAUAUUACUUGUAAUAAAAAUAAUAAUAUUAAUAAUAAUUUUAAACUUGUCUAACCCAAGUUUUUAUUUUUUUAAUCUCUUCAAAUAAAAUUUGUGGUUUUUAUUUUAUUGUAAUAAUUUUUUUUCUUUGAAUUUAUUAAUGAUAAAAAUAACAAUAAAAAUAAUAUAAUAAUAUACUAAUAAUAUUUUCUCUUUACCGUGUGAAAAAAAGAGAGAGAAAAAGAUAACACAUUAUAGUAUUGGCCUUUUCGUUCUUGCUGGGGGUAGGACCUAAUGUUUUUUUAGGGGUCUUGCUAGCCGCAAGACCCGAAGCUUAUGGGACUUGCAAGACCAAUAUUGAUGGGUCCUGGACGAUGGCCCACCGCUGCUGGGUAGCAGGGCCCAACAUCAUUGCGUCAUGCUUGGCAAAAAAACCUAGCAACGGUAGGUCCUACUCGUAGGCAGGGCCCACUGCUGUCAUGAGUUUGGUGACACAGACAAACCCAAUCUUAGCAUAAAUGUUUUAAAAAUAAUAUUUUAUGUUGUCAAUUUUUUUUUUGGAGAGCAACUUUUUAGAUUUCAUUUACUUUUUUUGUUAUCAAUUUGGAUGAAUUGAAGCAUUGUUGCUGAAACCAUCAAGCAACAUCAUGAAUUAUAUAUGCCAAUUAGGCCUUUUAAAAAGUUAGGAGCUAAUAAGGUUGAAGAAACAUUCAAUGGUUAUUUCAAGAUAUUUAAGCCUUAUUUCCUACAAGACUUACGGAUUCAACUUAUUUUCCUACUUACACGCGGAUUGGGCUUUAAAUUUUCUUGAUGAUUAUAAAAUCCUUAUUUUAUAUGGAGUUAAAAUAUAAUAGCAAUUAGAUAUUGAUAAAGCCUUACGAUAAAGAUUAAAAACUACUAUACAAUAAUUGCAUUAGUUUUCCAGUUAAUUUAGAAUUUUAUUUCAUUUUAUUUAGAAUUAUUUUGUUAUUUUUUUAGCAUUUCUCAUUUUACCUAGUAUAAAUAUUGUUAUUUAACUUAUAUUUAGUUUUUUUUUAAUAAUUUGAGACGGAUUGAUUAUUUAGAAUAUUAUUGUAUGUGAAAGAGUUUACUCAUAUUCUUGAUUCCUCAUGGAACUUUUUCAAAAACUUAUCAAAGAUCAACUCUUUUUAUGACAUCCAUCCUUAUACCUACAGUUCGUAGUUUGUUAUAAUCAACGGGUUGGGGUCUUAUCCAUAUACCUAUAUUUUUCAGUUUAUUACAAUCAACGGGUUGAGGUUUUAUCCUUUGAAACUUUUUCAAAAACUUAUCAAAGAUCAACUCUUUUUAUGAUAUCCAUCCUUAUACCUACAGUUCUUAGUUUGUUAUAAUCAACGGGUUGGAGUUUUAUCCAUAUACCUACAUUUUUCAGUUUAUUACAAUCAACGGGUUGAGGUUUUAUCCUUAUACCUUUAAUUAGUGGUUCAUUAUAAUCAUUAGGUUAAGUUUUUUCAUCCAAUAACUAUGAUUAUGUAGUUUAGAUAAUCACUAGGUUAGGUUCUUUUCAACUUGAUUUUAGCUUUUUUUUAUUGUUUUUUUUCUUACAUAAGGGUUUUCCUCUCUAAAUUCACAACAACAAUGUAUGUUUAUGUUGAAGUAGAAAUUCAUAUAAUUAUUUAUGGGCAUGAAAAGCCUUUGUAAUAAAACAACUUAAACCUAUUAUGAAAAAAUUCAAAACAAAUCUUGAAAAACCUAAAAAUAGUAAAAAUAACUUAGAUCUAUUGUAAUAAAAACCUAAAAAGCGAGGCCCAUAAGUAAUGUUGAUUUGAACAAGUUUUGAAACAAAAAAGAUUGAACAAGUCAAUCCAAUAGCUUUGAACUGAUUUUGGUUUCAAAACCUUAAAAAACUAAUUUUUUAUUAAAUUGUUUUUUUUUCUAGAAUCAAACUGAAUAAAAAAAACCUUACUGUCAACUCAAAAAACUCAUAACUGGUUUUAAAACAUAAAAUUUAACUUGAAAAAAAAACUUUUCCAGCCCUAAUUUAACCUAAUUUAAUUAGGUCACAGUUGGAUAAUGAAUUUGAAUGUUUUAAAUGGAACAAUUAAGUAAAACUCAAAUCCAACUUAUUUUAUUACCUUCCAUUGAUUAUUAUUAAAUGAGAAAUUCAAACAUGCUUGGUGUGUUUAGCAAAGGAGAAUGACAGAGUUGUACUAUGUACUUUUAAGUGUGGAAAAGUUACAACUCAUAGAAGACCGUUUGGUAGCGCGUUUGCACCUGUAUUUUGCCCAAAUUUGAAUUUUUUUUUUUUGUUAAAAUUGAGUUCGGUUUGUACUUUUUGGAUCAUUUUGAUAUGCUGAUGUCAAAAAUAAUUUUAAAAAAAUAAAAAAACAUCAUUGGCAUGUAUUUUGGCACAAAAAACUAUUUGAAAAGCAACCGCUACCACACUACCAAACACGCUAGGCACCCACUUAGUUGAAAAUAAACAAGAAAUUUUUAGUGUGAUCAAAACACAAGAAAUCAUUUAAUUAAGUUUAUAUUUUUCAUUCCAAUGUUUUUUACUAACAAUGCUGAAAUAUUUGAUGAAAGAUUUUCUCAUAAACUAUUUUUCAAUAUGUAUAAAUUCAACAAUAAAAAAUCUUUUUGGAUAAAAAUUAUUUUUGUGUGAAAAAUUAAAUUCUUUAAAGACUUGAUUAUAUAACUCUAAGUUUAGGCAUCUGAACUUAAGUUUACAUCCAAAAAAAUCUAUUUUGCUCUAAUUUGACAUAGUAGAAAAAUCCUUAUAAUAUCAAAUCUUGACAUAUAUAUUAAAUUCACUAAAUUGUUGUUUAAAUUAUGUUUAUUUUUACGUUUUAAAAAUGUUUUUAAAAAAUUUUGAACUUUUUUUAUUUACUUCAAAUUAAUAUGUUUUUGGUGUUUUUAAAUUAUUUUGAUGCACUGAUAUCAAAAUUAAUUUUUAAAAAUUAAAAAAUAUUUUGAAAAACAAUUACAACUACACUCAAAAUCUUUUAACUAGCAACAAUGAAAAUGAAAAGGAUUCCAACUUUGUGGAACGUGAAGAGGAAGGAAUUGCACACGACAAGAGAACAAAAAACAAAUUAUGGUAAUAAGGUUUAGUUUUCAAUCAAAGAAGAGAGACUGCGAUUUUUAGAGAGAGAAAGUAGGAUAAAGAAGAGAGUGUGGGUGUGUGAUCUAUCAUUCAAUUGGUUUUCUCAUAUAUUAUACAUAAAGACAAUUUGGAUAUUUUAUCAUUUUUUUAAUUUUUAUUUGAUAAAGAAUGUAGAGUAUAAUUUCAAAAAGUAAUAGGGUAAAGUGAAAUAUAAUCAAAUCAUAAGAGUAAGAGGAUUUUUUUUGUAAUUAUUUCUUAAUAAAAGAAGAAACCUAUAAUCCAGAUUCUCGAAAAAAAAAAGAAGGUAAAAAGUGAAGAGUGACUGGGUGACCGUAUGAGUCUUUAAAGGAAAAGAAAAAGGGAUAAAAAUACAAUACUAAAAAAAUAAAAAGAGAGAGAAAUGAAAAAAAUGAAUAUGUUUUUUUCUUUUUCUUUUUCUUUUUUAAAUAAAAAAGCGAAAGGAGGUGUGAAAGCACGUAGGAAAGCAUGUUUAAUGCCAGUUUCUCGAACCUACUGGUAUUUAGAUAAUGAGAAUGAUGUUUUUGUCAUCACCAUCGAAAUUUCCAUGUCAUCGUUGACGUAUGAUAAUUCCCUAAGCGUGCUGUGCAAGUAACUUAAAAGGAACCAUCCCAGUUUGUACCAAUAAAUACUAAAUAGCAUUUGGAAUCCGCAAUUGUUCUAGUCUUUUGAGUAGUUCAUCACUUAACAAUGGCCAACGAAGACGUUUCGCACGACCUUUCAUCCCUUCUUUCGUCGGAAGAGAGGGACUUUCUCAUCCGCAACAAUGGUGACCAGGUACUGCUUUUAGCUUAUGGAUUUCUCUGGUCUUAUGCGAUCUACUUCUACUUGUCUUAUUAAACUUGCAGGUUUUUCUCGUAAUUAGGAUGGAUAUCAUGUUUAAAUUAGACUGCGAACCUUGCUCAAGAACAAGUUUAUGACCAAUUUCUAGAGCUUUUAUGAUUCAGAAAAGCCUCAAUUUUUGUUUACCCUCUUGAUUUAUGGGCUAAUUUUUUUUUUUUCUGAUUAUGCUCGACACUAAUUUUUAGGUUACGGUCAGCAAUUUGGUUGGGAAGAUUGUGGGAUUCUAUUUCUCUGGUUCGUGGUGCGGGCCGUGCCGCAAUUUCACUCCGUUGUUGGUAGAAGUCUAUGAACAGCUAUCAUCCAAAGGGGACUUCGAGGUGGUCUUCAUUUCUUCUGACGGAGACGAUGAAUCCUUCAACACAUACUUCUCCGAAAUGCCAUGGCUUGCUAUUCCCUUCUCUGAUACGGAGACCCGCCAACGUCUUCAGGAAUUGUUCAAAGUAAGAGGGAUCCCUAAACUCGUCAUUUUUGAUACUAAUGGUAAGGUUUCCUGCGAUAAUGGAGUCAGACCUGUCAAGGAACAUGGCGUGGAUGGGUAUCCGUUCAACCUUGAUAGACUGAAUUUCCUUAAAGAGCAAGAAGAGAAUGCUAAGAAGAAUCAAACCAUAAGCUCUAUCUUGGUUUCCAGCUCACGUGAUUAUGUGAUUUCAAAUGAUGGAAAAAAGGUAGAUGUUUCAUUCAAUUAGCUAGUUUUGAAAUUGAAUUGAUGAUGCCAUAAUUCACAUUUUUGCUAUCUGUAAUGGCAGAUCCCUGUGUUGGACCUUGAAGGAAAAUUGGUUGGCUUGUAUUUUUCAGCCCAUGCUCAUAGGAUGUGCCGUGAAUUCACUCCUAAACUAGUGGAAUUGUAUAAGACGCUCAAGGAAAAAAGAGAGAACUUUGAAGUAGUCCUAAUAUCUCUAGACGACGAAGAAGAAGACUUCAAAGAGAGUUUUGAGACAAUGCCUUGGUUGGCAUUGCCUUUUAAGGACAAGAGCUGCGAGAAGCUAGCGCGGUAUUUUGAACUUAGAACCAUUCCUAAUCUUGUCAUAAUUGGCCAAGAUGGGAAGACUUUGAACCCAAAUGUAGCUGAACUGAUCGAAGAACAUGGUAUUGAAGCCUACCCAUUUACACCGGAAAAGCUUGACGAGCUAGCUGCAAUUGAAAAGGCAAAACUGGAAUCGCAGACGCUUGAGUCAGUUUUGGUUAAUGGGGAAAAUGAUUUUGUGAUUGACAAAAGUGGCUCCAAGGUAAUUGUUUUUGUUCUAUGCUAACCUCGCAUGUUGUUACCGCAUUACUUUCAAUAACUUUCUUAUGAUCACGAAUUGAAUUCAUUAGCAAAGGUUUUUUUUUUUUUUUUAUCAUUCCAAUGGUUUACUCUUGAUUAGGUCCCAGUGUCUGAACUAGUUGGAAAGAACAUUCUUCUUUACUUCUCAGCUCAAUGGUGCCCUCCAUGUCGUGCCUUUUUACCCAAGCUAAUUGAAGCAUACCACACAAUUAAAAGAAAAGACAAUGCAUUUGAGGUGAUCUUCAUCUCAAGUGACAGAGAUCAAUCCACCUUUGACGAGUUCUAUUCAGAAAUGCCUUGGUUAGCCCUUCCAUUUGGUGAUGGAAGGAAACAAAUCCUGAGUCGGAAAUUCAAAAUUCAAGGCAUUCCUGCAGCUGUAGCGAUUGGCCCAAGUGGCCGGACCAUUACCAAGGAAGCUCGGAUGCACCUGACAGCUUACGGGGCAGAUGCUUUUCCAUUUACCGAGGAACAUCUAAAGCGAUUGGAGGAGGAGCUUGAGGAAAAGGCAAAGGGGUGGCCAGAGAAAGUGAAACACGAACUUCAUACUGAGCAUGAGCUGAUACGUACUAAACGCAGUGCAUAUGGUUGCGAUGGCUGUGGGGAAACGGGAUAUCGGUGGUCUUUCUAUUGCAAUCAAUGUGACUUUGAUCUUCACCCCAAGUGUGCUCUGAAGGAAGAUGAAGAUGCUGGAACUGAAAAGGGAAAGGAAGGAUGGGUCUGCGAUGGAGAUGUGUGCCGCAGAGCUUAAGCAGGCAAGCGCUGCUUGUGUCUGGUUUUAUGGGCUUUCUGCUGUAUUAAGUAUGCAAUGGAAGAUGUUUGUUGCAUGUGUGUGAAUAUAGUGGGGAUGUCUCUCCUGUUAUCGUUAUGUAUCUAAGAUGUGUGAAGCUGAAGGGUUUUCAUGUCCUGUAUUUGGAUACUAAAAAUAAAUAAACAGCUCUGUGUGUUUAUGCGAAUCCUGUGACCCAUUUGGAACUUGGGAAAAUCCAUGGUUGAUGGUUGUUCUCAAAGCUCAAUCACUUGUUAUGAGGUUUUUGUCAUUCCUAAACGAAAAUGCUGUGCAUGAUGCCAUUGUGCCGCUCUCUUUGUUUCUAUUUGGCUGGGUGAAGAAACAGCCUCACCUCUGGAGCAAAUAUUCCUGUUAUUGUAUUGCUGAUUAAAUACAAAAACUGGGCUGAUUGUGACUUAACCAACAUUAUACAAUGAAACCAUUGUAACUCCACCGUAAAAGAAACAAGAAUUUCCAAUCCAAGCAACUGGAUAGUCAUUUCCCCCCCUCGUUGCCUUCUCACAUUACUUGUUGAGACGGAUUUCAGAAUCAAGAAAGCAGCAUUAAUUCGAACUCAGAACUAAGAAAGACAAAUGAAAUCCCAGCAGGUGGAAACUGGGUUCAUGGCAGUUAUUUGGAGGGUGGACACCUGCGUUUGUUGAUGAACAUGUCUGCAAUCAAUGAAAACCAGAACCACGGGCAGGCUAUUGCCUGUAUCAGUUCAUGGGACGCAAAGGACAGAUAGGAUUAGUGGUGAGCUUGGAGAAGUUAGCAAAGCCAACAACUACACCUCGCAGAACAGGAAAAGAUUUCCGUAAAUUUAAUGCUUUUCUACAAGAAUGUUUGGUUGCCUAUUUUUAAAAAAAAAAAAUUAUAUAAAUAACUUCUGGGUUGGCAUAGACACCUCAGGUUUUGGCACAGCUGCAAAAAACAAGUUGGAACUCUUACAUCCCUAUUGGUAGGUGAUGGAUUAUAAAUAAGGUUUAGUUUUGGUACUUUGACAUCCCUCGUGGACAAAACGAUUCUGAAUGGUUGAUAAUUUGGAAUGAAAGAUUUUCAGUACAAUUAUCAACACUCAACAAACUAGUAAUACCCUAUUAAUUCAUAACUAACUUGGAAAAAAAAAUUAAAUAUAAAAUUAUUGGAUCAAUCUGUAUAUUUUUUAUAUUAAAACAAUAACGUUUUAUUUUAUUUUUAUUUAAUCUUUACAGGAUAAUCACUCAGUUGAUUUAACCAUGUUAUUAAAAGAAUUUAAUUAAUAUAUUAUUUGAUUUAAUUAAAAUCUCAAAAAUUAUUAUACUUGAUAUCUUAAGUUUUUGAGACCAAUGAUUUCUACAUAGUGGUACAAUUAGCAUACUCUGCUCAUUGCAUUACAACAACAUUUUAAAAAUAAAAUGUUAAAAUUAAGAAUAAUUAAUUUUGAAAUUUUAUGUGAACAAUAAUUGUGUGGGGGUGUCAAUAGCAUCAUAUUUGUUUCCUGAAGUAAAUUAUAAUUGAAUCCUCAUAUUUUCCAUAAACCAAUAUGUUAGCCCUUCUGUUUUUUAAAAAACUAAAAGGCUACUCAAUUGAGAAGCUUCGACCGUCAAGCCGUUAUUAGAUAUUCUUUUAUACUAAUACCUAAAGUAACGGUUUAGCACUUUUAUAAUGUAAAACUAAAGGAAGAACUAAGGAGGUAAAAUAUGGCUUCUUUUAAAUAAAGGGAGUGAGCUAUUAAUUUCUUAAAACUAUAGGGACUACGUUAUAAUUUGAUCAAUUUGUUAUGAUGAAUUUAAAGUGCCACACGUGAUUUUUUUUUUUAAUUAAUGUGGGUGUCCGGACCAGCUUGCGCACACCUUAACUAAUCCAACGGGUCCUGAAAUUAACGACCAUGUAAGCCUACAGUUAUCAUCAUAUGAGCAACUACAGGGCUCCUGAGAUCACAAAGGGAAUAAACCUUUUAGUCCCAAGCUCUUAUAACUAGGACACUUUCUAGAUGGUUGUCACACGUUAUUUAAUUCUACAUGGUUUGGUUUUGUGUUUGCCAAUUAAUGAUCAUCAUGUUUCAUGAUGUGACAAAUAGAUUAAAAAUAUGAUGAAUGGAGCCAAACAUUAUUGGUUUUAAAUUUAAAAUUUUUUUAGUGUGUUUGAAUUUUUUUAAUAUAUUAAAUUUAAAAAUAAAUUUUUAAAAAUUAAUAUAUAUAUUUGAGUAAAAAUUAUUUUAAAACUCAACCUCUAUUAUAUUUUUAAACAUACCCUAUCAUUAGUAGUUGAGUCUUACCCUUAAUGUUUUCCAUGGAAUCUAUUAUUAUAGUCUUACAGCGUAUGUGCAAAGAUAAGGAAUAUCAUGAUAGGCAGUAAAAAAAAAAAAAAAAAAACUCUUACUAAUAUUAUAAAAACUAUGUUAUAAUUUUAUCUGAAAAUAAAAUAAAAAUUAAAUGAUAUCUAAUAAAAUAAUAUCUCAUAUAUAUUCUUAAUAACUUAAGUAUCUACUAAAAUAACAGCCUUGAUGUGUUUUUAAAUAAUUAAUUUUAACGAAAUAAAACUAAAACUCAAGGAUAAAAAUUCAAAAAUAAAAAUUCAAAUAAAAUAAAAACAAGCCAUGUUUGUGGGGCCAGGUGACUCCGCAUGCUUAUCCAAAAUGAAAGAGCCAUUUUAUUUUUUCUUUGAUAAAUGACAUAUCAUUUAUCCUUUUGAUUUUUAAAGUAAAACAAAUGACACAUGAUUGGUUACUCAAUUUUUUUUUGUCAUGGAGAAGUGGUUGAAGAAUUGGGUUAGAGUUUUUUUUUUUAUCUAAAAUUAUAUAUUUUUUAAUUUGUUUUUAUCUAUUGUCUCUAAACUAGUCCAUCAUCUAAAAAAAAAACCCUAAAAUAAUUUUAAAAUACAAAGUUUAACCUAAAAGCAAUUCUCUCAACCUCGAUUUAUCUUUUUUUGGCAAUAUAAAGCUAAAAACACAUUAUGGUAGCAUUCUUCUUGUCAAGAAGAAUACAUUGACACACAUUUUAGCUAUUUUUGCAAACAAAACCUUGUCAAUGUAUGUAUUUCUUCUCCUUUGUUAUUUUCAAUGAAUGUUUUUUUUUUUCUAAAACUCAAAACUAAAAUGUGAUUAAAAUAAAGUUUUAGAUCAAAACAUAAAUUUUUAAAGUAAAAUAGCGUGAAAUGAACAUUUCUCAAAUAAAAAAACCAUAAAUUCUUGCUACUUGUUAAUUUUGGCUCCCCAAGUCCUUAAUUUUUAUAUACAAUAAAAUAGGAUUCUAUUUUGUAAAAUCAAACAUAACUCUAAUGUAAAGACAUUUAAUUUUCCAAAAAAAAAAUUAUAGAAAACCAACCAAUAAGUCAAAUCCUCCAUUAAUAAAAUGUCAAAAAUUGAAAAAAUUUAAAAAGUGUUUGGUGACUAUAAUGAAAAAAAUUUCGAAGAAAAAACUAGAACACUAUUUUAAUCUGUGAUGUUUUGAGUUUUUGUCCACAGUGCAACAACACUAAACUAACCACAUCUCUUAGUUUUAUAUUUAAUUUAUUUUUAGAUUUUUAUGAUUCAUAAAUGAGGGAUUAUUUUAUUUUGUUAGCUUAGGUUUUAUUUUUAUAAAAUUAAUUAAAAAAUAGAUUAGGAUAUCUAGUGGAUAACCACAAAUGAAGAAAGUCAUCUACUUAACCGGAUUUAGAGCUCGUUUGUUUCUGAGACAACAUUUACAUUUCUUUUAAACACACUAAUAAUGGUGUUUGAUUACCGAUUGAAAGUAAUACAUAAAUUAUAGACCCCAUCAUUUAUAUGAGGCAGCACCUUAAUUAUAAAAAAUAUUUUUUUUUAUUGAACUUUCUUACAUGAUAGAGUAUUGCAUUUAAAAACUCUUUCUUUCUCCCCUCAAAAUAUAGGGUCUCUUUAUUGAAAUAGAGUCAUGAUGUGGCUCAAAUACACAAUAUAAAUUUAUUUAUAAUUAUUAAAUAUAUGCAAUAUCAUUAUUUUUAAAAUAAAAAAGAAAUCCAGAGUUUUAUUAUUGAAAAACUCCAUUCUUGAAAAUAUAACUAAAAAUUCUAUCAAAGUUUAGAUUUUAACUUGUCUAUUAAAUUGUAUGUAAUUAUUAUCAAGUCAUAUUUUAUAGAAAAUAAACUAGGCUAAAAAUCUAAUCCAAAAUUCUCUCGAUGUCUUUGAGAAUUUAAUUAGCAUAUGAAUUUUAUUGAGGUCUGUGUUAAAUGUUUUUUUUUUUUUCUGAGACUUAAGGAGCUUUGGAUGACUGGAGCUGGAGGUACAUUUUCAUGAUUUAUUUUUCUCAAUAAUUUUUUUUUACAGUCUUGGCCUUCAUCCUUUCCUAAGCUUCCUAUGUAAGAUGCCACGUAUAUAGUUUCUUUGCUCGUUCAUUUCAACUAUGCUUUACAUAUGAUGAUUGAUUUAUAUUAGAAAAAAAAAAUGAUAGAAAAAUUCAUUUCCAAAUGCAGCAAAACCAAAAGAGAAUAAUUUUCUAAUUAAAAAAACUAAUUAAGGAUUUUUUGUAUCAAGAAAUAUAAAGAUUUUAUUAAAGAGAUAAAAAUAAAAAAUAUAUUUAAUAACAAACUCACAAAAAAAUUAUCAAACCAUGGAUAAAACUAAAAAAAAAGGAGAUUAAUAAAAAAAACAUGUUUAAAAAAGAAGAAGCAAGAGGAGAUUUAUAGAAGCAGGUGAUCAUGCGAAUGCCACUUCAUCGGGCCUACGUCAUAAUGUCUUCGUCAUCACCCGUCACCAGCCACGCCUUGAAGCGUCGUUGUCUGAUUAGAAUAAUAAUUUCCUAGGUCGGUCGUGCAGGUAAUUUAAAGGAGCCUUAGCCUGGAAGUUCUAUCACAUAGCAACUGGGAUUGGCAAUUGUUCUAGCCUUUUGAGUAGUUCAUCACAUAGCUAGCUAUGGCCACCGAAGACGUUUCUCUCGACCUUUCAACGCUUCUUUCUUCAGCAGAGAGGGACUUUCUCAUCCGCAACAAUGGUGAUCAGGUACUGCUUCUCUGAUCUUAUUCAAGUCUUCUUCCUGUCUUAUUAUAAGUUGACGUCUUUUAAUUUUUAUAUGAACUUGUAGGUUUUUCUCGUAAUUAAGAUGAAUAUCAUGUUUAAAUUAGACUGGUAGCCUUGCUUAAGAACAAAUUUAUGACCAAUUUCUGAAGCUUUUUAUGAUUAAGAAAAAGCUCCCUUUUUUUUGUUGCUUCUCUCACUGGCAAGAGAAAGAAACCAUGAAUAAAAUUUUGAUUCGUUAAGGGCAGAUGUUUUUUUCUGAUAAUGUUCGAGAUUAAUUUUUAGGUUAAGGUCAGCAAUUUGGUUGGGAAGAUUGUGGGGUUCUACUUCUCUGGUUCGUGGUGCGGCCCAUGCCGUAAUUUCACUCCUUUGUUGGUAGAAGUCUAUGAACAGCUAUCAUCCAAAGGGGACUUUGAGGUGGUCUUCAUUUCUUCUGACAGAGAUGAUGAAUCCUUCAACACAUAUUUCUCCGAAAUGCCAUGGCUUGCUAUUCCCUUCUCUGAUACGGAGACCCGCAAACGUCUUAAGGAAGUGUUCAAAGUAAGAGGGAUCCCUAAUCUUGUCAUAAUUGGCCAAGAUGGGAAGACUUUGAACCCAGAUGUAGUUGAACUCAUCGAAGACCAUGGAAUUGAAGCCUACCAUUUACACCGGAAAAGCUUGAUGAGCUAGCUGCAAUUGAAAAGGCAAAACUGGAAUCGCAGACGCUUGAGUCAGUUUUGGUUAAUGGGGAAAAUGAUUUGUGAUUGACAAAAGUGGAUCCAAGGUAAUUUUUUUUCUGCUAACAUCGCAUGUUGUUAUUGCAUUACUUUCAAUAACUUGCUUAUUAUCUCGAAUUGAAUUCAUUAGCAAAGGAUUUUUAUCAUUCAAAUGGUUUACUCUUGAUUAGGUCCAGUGUCUGAUCUAGUUGGAAAGAACAUUCUUCUUUACUUCAGCUCAAUGGUGCCCUCCAUGUCGUGCCUUUUUACCCAAGCUAAUUGAAGCAUACCACACAAUUAAAAGAAAAGACAAUGCAUUUGAGGUGAUCUUCAUCUCAAGUGACAGAGAUCAAUCCACCUUUGACGAGUUCUAUUCAGAAAUGCCUUGGUUAGCCCUUCCAUUUGGUGAUGGAAGGAAACAAAUCCUGAGUCGGAAAUUCAAAAUUCAAGGCAUUCCUGCAGCUGUAGCGAUUGGCCCAAGUGCCGGACCAUUACCAAGGAAGCUCGGAUGCACCUGACAGCUUACGGGGCAGAUGCUUUUCCAUUUACCGAGGAACAUCUAAAGCAAUUGGAGGAGGAGCUUGAGGAAAAGGCAAAGGGGUGGCCAGAGAAAGUGAAACACGAACUUCAUUCUGAGCAUGAGCUGUUACGUACUAAACGCAAAACAUAUAUUUGCGAUGGCUGUGGGGAAACAGGAAAUAGUUGGUCUUUCCAUUGCAAAGAAUGUGACUUUGAUUUCACCCCAAGUGUGCUUUGAAGGAAGAUGAAGAUACUGGAAGUGAAAAGGGAAAUGAAGGAUGGAACUGCGAUGGAGAUGUGUGCCGCCGAGCCUAAGCAGGCAAGCGCUCCUUGUAUCUGGUUUUAUGGGCUUUCUGCUGUAAUAAGCGUGCGAUGUAAGGUGUUUGUUGCAUGUGUGUGAAGAUGUGGAUGUCUUUCCUGUUAUUGAUAUGUAAUUAAGAGGUGUGUUGCUUAAGGAUUUUCAUGUCCUGUAUCUCGAUACGAAGAAUAAAUAACCUGAUUGGCUAAGUUUAUGUGAAUCCUGUGACCCUUUUGAAACUUGGGAAUCCAUGGUUGCUGGUUGUUCUCAAAUCUCCAUCACUAGUUAUGAGGUUUCGUCAUUCCUAAAUGAAAAUGUUAUGCAUGAUGCCAUUGUGCCGCUCUCUGUGUUUCUAUUUGGCUGAUGAAGAAACAACUUUACCUCUGGAGCAAAUAUUUCGAUACCAAACUGGUUUUGUUUAAACUCUCAACCCAAUUCAAUUAUGAAAGGUUUUUUUUUUUUUGUCUGAGAAUCCCUAAUUUGCUUCCUCUCUCCUGUAGCCACAACCACCCUCUCUUUUCUCUGAAAGAUAUCGAAACUUAGCGGUGAUCUCUUCGCUCUCAAAAUUUCUCGCAACUUUCUCACCUCCCUCUUUGUUGUUGGUCUCUUUUUUAUUUUUGUCUCCUCUCCAUCUCUAGUGUAAUGUAGCCUCUCUUCUCUCUAUUUCUUUCUAUUUUUCUUAGCUUUAUUUAUUGUUAUAGAAUAAUAAAUUAUAACAUGUUUAUUUGUUAUUUGGCAAGGAUUCAAUGUUCACAAUAACUCAGAUGUUUGACAAAGCCGAUUUAUAUUAUUUAGCAGAUUUGAUAAGAUUUAUUGUCUCCUAUAUGUAUUAUUAACUGUGACCUAAUAAUUUACAUGUUAUGUUUCAAAGACACAGAAGUUUGAGGUGUUGGUUCUUAUUUCGUUGCAUGUCAAGCUCAAUAUAUUUCUCCUAACAUGUUUAUUUGUUACUUGGCAUGGAUCAUUUUUUAUGGCUUAUAUUGUCUUUUUUAUGUAGAUGUGAACAAGUUAUUUCAAAGGAAAAAACUAUAUUGACUCCUUAAUUGUGAAAUUGGAAAUUAGGGAGAUAAUUGUUGUGAUAAUUCAUGGGCGAUCAUGUAAGCAAAUGUUAUAGGAAGCUUGCUGAUUUGGAUUUGUAAUAAUACAUGCAUCGAAGUGCUAGAAAGGCCACAUAAUCUUUGCCCUUUCCUAGGCUUCAUGUGCAAGAUCCCGUGUAUAUAAGUUAAUUGUAAGUUCAUUUAAACUAGGCUUUACAAAUGGUGAUUCAUUUGUAUUAAGAAAAAAUGAAAUAAAAAUUCAAUUUCAUAUAUAAUCCAUCACCUAUUUAAUAGUGUGAUGUAAGAGUAAGAGUUCAUCUUGUUUAUGAUCCAUCACCUAUCAAUAGUGAUGUAAGAGUUCCAACUUGUUUUCUACAGCUGUGCCAAAACCUAGGGGGGUCUACGCCAGCCCAGCAGAGUCCUUCCCCCGUCGUAGGUGGUCCAUACGACCAGAGAUAGUAAGUGAUUUCAGAACAUGCCUUUUCGAAAUGUGAUCAAAAUAAAAUUUUGGAUUAAAAUAUAAAAUUUUCAAAGUAAAAUGGUGUGAAAUCAACAUUUCUCAAAUAAAAAAAAACCUUAAAUUAUUGCUAACAAUCAAUUUUGCCCCCUAAAUCUUAAAUUUUUUGUACGCAAUAAAAUACGAUUUAUUUUGUAAAAUCCAAAUAUCACCCUAAUGUAAAAACAUUUAAUUUUUCCCUCACAUAGAAGAUUAUAAAAAAACCAACCAAUAAGUCCAAAUUCUUGAUUAAUAAAAAUGUCAAAAGAUGAAUUUAAAAAAAUUAAUUAUAUUAUAAUGAAAAACAUUCAAAGAAUAGGACUAGAACAUUGUUCCAAUCCAUGAUAUUUUGAAUUUUUUGUCCAUGGUGCAACAAAACUAAACUAACCACAUCUUUUAGUUUUUUAUUUAAUUUAAUUUUAUAGUUUUAUGAUUCAUGAAGGAGGAAUUAAUUUAUUUUUUAGAUUAGGUUUUAUUUUUAUAAAAUUAAUUAAAAAAUAAAUUAGAUAGGAUAUCUAGUUGAUACCCACGAAUAAAGAAAGUCAUAUACUUAACCUGACUUGAUUAAAAAAAUUAACGAAUUUGAACAUUCGAGAGUGGAAAUUCAUUAUCUUCCUUUACUUACAAUUAUGACAAAUUGAAAUACGUCUAGAGUGUUUGAUAAAGGAUGAUGACAUAUAUGUAUAGUGCACUUUUGAGUGUGGGAAAGUCCCGUCUCAUGACAGAGUAUUGCAUUUAAAAUCUCUUUCUUUCUUCCUUGGAAAUAUAGCAGGGGUGAUUAAAAAAAAAUUGAAAAACUAAUUAAAUUAAAAAAAUAAUUUUUUUUGAAAAAACUGAACCGAGAAAAAAUAAAUUAAUUAAUUAAAAUAUUUUUAAAAAUAUCUGGUUUGAUUUUGAUUUUUUAAGUCUAAAACCGAAAAAAUAAACUGAAAUUAAUAAAAAAACCAAACUGAAAAAACUUAAACCAAACCUAUUAAAAAUUACAAAAAAAAACCCCUAAAAAUAAUAUAGUUUUUGGUUUUUAAUAUAGAUGUUUUGAUUUUACCAAAACCAAAACCGAACGAACCAAAUCCGAUCGGAUGGGUUUUGAUUUUUAAAAAAAAAAAAAUACAGUUUGGUUAUUUUUAUAGGUAAAAACCUAACCGAACUAAAAAUAAUCACCCUUGAAAUAUACAAAAAAACAUUUUAUUGAAAUAAAGUGGCUAAAAUACACUAUAUAAUUUUAUUUAUAAUUAUUAAAUAUAUGUAACAUCAUUAUUUUUAAAAUUAAAAGGAGUUGAGAGUUUUACUAUUAAAAAACUUUAUCUUGAUAGAAGGAUAAUAAGGUCUUUAGAAAGUUUGUAUCGUAGCAUACUUAUUAAAUUAUAUGUGAUUACCAUCAUGUCAAAGUAACAUAAAGAUUUUAUUAAAGAGAUAAAAAUACAAAAUAUAUUUAAUAACAAACUCACAAAAACAAAAUAUCAAACCAUGGAUAAAACUAGAAUAAAAACAUAAAAAAAGGAGAUUAAAAAAACAUUAGAAUAUUUUAAACUGAUUAGAAUAUUUUAAAAAAUAUCCAGUUUGAUUUUGAUUUUUUAAGCUUGAAACUAAAAAAUCAAACCCAAAUUAAUAAAAAAAAUAAACCAAAAAAACCGAAACAAAACUCAUUAAAAAUUACAAAAAAAACCCUAAAAACAAUAUAGUUUUUUGUUUUUAAUAUAAAAUAAUCAAACCAAAACCGAAUCAAAUCAAACCCGAAUGGUUGGAUUUUGGUUUUUUUUUUUUGUAUUUUUCAAAAUUUCAAUUUGGUUAUUUUUAUAGGUAAAAACCAAACCAAACUAAAAAUGAUUACUCUAGAAUAUAAAUUUUUUUUUGUAUUGAAAUAGAGUGGCUAAAAUACACUAUAUAAUUUUAUUUUUAAAUAUUAAAUAUAUGUAACAUCAUUAUUUUUAAAAUUAAAAGGAGUUGAGAGUUUUACUAUUAAAAAACUUUAUCUUGAUAGAAGGAUAAUUAAUAAGGUCUCUAAUAAGUUUGGAUCUUAGCCUACUUAUUAAAUUACAUGUGAUUACCAUCGUGUCAAAGUGAAAUAAAGAUUUUAUUAAAGAGAUAAAAAUACAAAAUAUAUUUAAUAACAAAAUCACAAAAAAAUUAUCAAACCAUGGAUAAAACUAGAAUAAAAAUAAAAAUAAAAAGAGAUUAAAAUAAACACCUCUCUGCGCAAGAAAUGAUAUAUUCUGUUAAAGACAAUCCUUCCCGUAGAUUGCUUUGAAUGGGUAAAUCAAUCAUUUGUCUUUGUGGAUCCGACAUUAAUCCUCUUAUACCUACUAAUUGGUGUACUUGAGAUGUAUUUCCCUAGCUCCCGAAAAGGACAUUAUAUGGACUUGAUUAUAGGGUUUUGUCAUUCUAAAAUUCAGAUUCAUUUCUUGUCGCAAAUAUUCACUUGUAGCAUACUAUAUCUUAAUAAAUUGACGUAAUUUUUCUAUCGCGUAUACAUUUUUAUAAUGAUGGUGUUUUUUCAAAAUCAAACUUUGUUGUUCAGCAUCUUGGACUAGCCAUCCUUUUGAAGAUAUUGUUAAAAGAUCAUCAAUUCCUAAUGAAAUAGAUGUAGCAGUGGUAUGUGAAUCCUGUGACCCAUUUGAAACUUGGGAAUCCAUGGUUGAUGGUUGUUAUGAGGUUUUUGUCAUUCCUAAACGAAAACGCUAUGCAUGAUUGCAUUGUGCCGCUCUCUUUGUUUCUAUUUGGCUGGAUGAAGAAACAGCUUCACCUCUGGAACAAAUAUUCCUGUAAUUGUAAUGCUGAUUAAAUACAAAAACUGGGCUGAUUGUGACUUAACCAACAUUAUACAAUGAAACCAUUGUAACUCCACCGUUAAAGAAACAAGAAUUUCCAGUCCAAGCAACUGGAUAGUCAUUUUUACCCCUCUCUGCCUUCUCACAUUACUUGUUGAGACGGAUUUCAGAAUCAAGAAAGCAGCAUUAAUUCGAACUCAGAAGUAAGAAAGACAAAUGAAAUCCCAGCAGGUGGAAACCUGCGUUUGUUGAUGAACAUGUCUGCAAUCAAUUAAACCAGAAACACGAGCAGGCUAUUGCUUGUAUCAGUUCAUGGGACGCAAAGGACGGAUAGGAUUAGUGGUGAGCUUGGAGAAGUUAGCAAAGCCAACAACUACACCUCGCAGAACAGGAAAAGAUUUCCGUAAAUUUAAUGCUUUUCUAUUUGCUUAAUUCUCGUGACACCAUAUUAUUUGAUGCCUCAAAAGAACGAAAAUAUCAUCCGUGUGAUACAUCCAAAAUUCAAGCAAGCACACUGCCAAGAAAUUCAAUUCGGCGACGUUUCAAUCAAGCACGCUGCCAUAAAGUUUGAAGCCAUUGAAAAAACCUUUGGUUCUAUGGUCCAUUAAUUAUGUUCAGCUUAUUUACUCUUUCAUGUUCUCGCAGUUUCUUCUUUUUGCCACGUUCCAUGGCUUCCCACCACUGAAUCUCAUGUGCUUUAAAUUUGCCUUCGCCAUGACAGCCACAAAACCUUAUCGAUUGUUGCAGUCUGAAAACUGUUUGUUAUUGUGGUUACUGUUGUGGUUUUAAGAAAAUUAUUUUGUAAAAAUAUUUUUAGUUGAGGUUGGUUUAGAAAAAUAUAUAUUUGAUUAAAAAUAUGGUUAAAAUUGAGGUUGAACAAAAAGUAGUUUAAUGUGUUUGGUUAAAAAAAUGUUUUUCAAAUUGAGGUUAUAAAAUAAUUAAAAAAUAUUUUUAAUUUAAAUAUUGUAGAUUUAACUACUAUUACUACAUCAUGAAAUAAAUAAUAUUUAUAUCAAAUAUUUUUUAUUAUUCCAUUAAACUAUAUGCAAUGUCAUCACAUACAAAUCUAUCCAACAAUGACUAUAUUUUUCAUGGUUUCUUAAGCACGCAACAACAAAAAUUGGAUUUUUUGUAAUGUCAUCAAGCGAUAUCCUUCUAAUUUUUUCAAUAAAACACAAUUAAAAUAAAAAUAAAAACUGAAUUUUUUUAACUGGGUCAGACCCGGCAGGAACAUAAUUGGAAUUGCGAUUAAAUUUCACAAAUGUUAUGUCAUCAUGCGAUAUUCUUCUAAUUUAUAUAGUGUUAUUAAAUAAUAUUAAAUACUAGUUUUUCGAGUAAAACUAAAUUUUUUAAAAAAAAAAAUUACAAUUUCAUUACGUACAAAAUUCAUUCGACAAGAACUACAGUUUAAUGAUUUUGUGAGCGUGCAAUAAAAUUAGAUAAAAUAUUAUCGGGAAUAAAAUUAAGAUUACAGUAUGAGUAAAUUUAAUUCACCUUUAACUAUUUUUUUAACAAAAAAAAAUAUAUUGUUCAUCUGAAUAGUGCGAGUGAAAUUAAUUAAUUGCACUGGUUUUUCAGGGAAAAAAAAACCCAAACAUUGCAUGUGAACAGUGCAAGUGAAUUAAUUCACUCACACUGGUUUUUUGAAAUUAAAAAAAAAAUUGUUCAUUUUAGUGAACAGUGGAGCCAUGCUCCAUUGUUGAUGUUAAUUUUCAGACGAGCAGCAGCUUCUCAGAAACCUAUUCAGAUGAACAAUAUAUUUUAAAAAAAAUGGAGCAGGUGAAUUAUUUUAAUCUGCUUUUUAAUCUGCUACAGUGCAUGCAAAGCAGGUUUUCAUAGCUUUUCCUUUCCAGUGUUUUAAACGCAAAAAACACGUGGGUCCCAUGCACAGUAAAAUAAUUUUUGUUAUUACCAAACGGCUGCGGACUGCGUUUUAAAUAAAACGCAUCCGCAGCCUCUUAGACAAACACCCUUUAAGUGGGUCCUACAAAAAAAACUAUUUUUUCUUACCUUACCAAACAUUAAUAGUUGUGGUUGCGGGUGAACCUCACCCGUGGCCACAAUACCAAACAUCCACUUACUAUCUCUGGCCAUCUCGUGUAUGGACCCCUCUACGAUGAAGGAAGGGCACUGUUGGGCUCUUCCCUUACAACGGGGGAAGUCGGAAGGACACUGUUGGGCUAGUAUAAACCCUCCAGGUUUUGGCAUAGCUGCAGAAAAAAAUAAUUUAAAAAAAAUAAAAAAAAAAUAUAUUAUUUUAAUAUAUUUUAGUAUGAAAAGCAUUUUGAAAAAUAAUUGUAAUCAUAUUCCCAAACAAAUAUAAAAUUAAAGGAAAAACAAAUAUAAAACUAAAAGAAGAACUAAGUUAUAGUAAAUGGAAAUGAUGACAUGGAGGUAAAAUAUGGCUUCUUUUAAAUAAAGGGAGUGAGCUAUUGAUUUCUUAAAAAUAUAGGGACUACGUUAUAAUUUGAUCAAUUUGUUAUGAUGAAUUUAAAGUGUAACACGUGAUUUCUUUUUUUUUUUUUUUUUUUAUAACUCGAGAUGUCUGGGCUAGUUUAUGCGCAUCACGACUAAUCCCCGGACUCACCGAACAUCCUGCAAGCCCUGUAAGUAGGUAAGGUACCGCGGGGUGACAAGCGUGCACAAGCAAGACUUGAACCCUGGUAUAAAGGAAGAACACAAGGCCCUUCCACUGCUGGGCUACAAGCUCAAGCGUGUAACACAUGAUUUCUAAAUGGUGGUGUUGGUGUUGUGUUUGCCUAUUAAUGAUCAUGAUCAUGAUGUUUCAUGAUGUGACAAAUAUAUUAAAAAUAUGAUGAUUUUGUUUAUAGUUAAAGCCGUGAAAUAUUAUUUGUUUAAAAUUUAUUUUUUUUUAAUGUUUUUAAUUUUUAUUUAAUGUAUUGAUGUUAAAAAUAUUUUUUUAAAAAUUAAUAUAUAUAUAUAUAUAUUAAUAUAUUUUUAUAUAAAACAUAUUUUAAAACUUAACCUCUUUUAUAUUUUUAAACAUACCCUUAGUCAAUUGUCAUUUAGUAGUUGAAUCUUACCCUUAAUGUUUUCCAUGGAAUCUAUUAUUAUUGUCUUUGACAGCGUAUGUGCAAUGAUAAGGAAUAUCACGAUAGGUUGUCAAAAAAACUCUUACUAAUAUUAUGUUAUGUGUAAUUUUAUCUGAAAAUAAAAUAAAAAUUGAAUGAUGCCUAAUAAAAUAAUAUUAUAUAUAUAUAUAUAUAUUCUUAAUAAUUUAAUUAUCUACUAAAAUAACAUCCUUAUGUGUUUUUAAAUAAUUAAUUUUAAUGAAAUAAAAUUAAAACUUGAGGAUAAAAAUUCAAAAAAUAAAUAAAAUAAAAGCUAAACAUAAGCCAUGUUUGUGGGGUCAAGUGACUCAGCAUACUUAUCCAAAACAUGAAAGAGCCAUUUCAUUUUUUCUUUGAUGAAUGACACAUUGGACUUUUAUUAUUUUAUUUUUAAAAUAAAACAGAUUUGCUUACUCAAUUAUUUUUUGUUAUGGAGAAGUGGAAGAGUUAGGUUAGUGUUUUUUUUUUUUUAUCUAAAAUUCUAUUUUUUUAAUAUAUUUUUAUCUAAAAACACCUCAUAAAUACUUUUAAAUUAUCUCUAAACUAAUCCAUCAACUAAAAAGAAACUCUAAAAUAAUUUUAAAAUAUAAAGUUUAACUUAAAAGCAAUUCUCUCAACCUCUAUUUAUCUUUUUUUGGCAAUAUAAAGCUCAAAAACAUUAUGGUAACACUCUUUUUGUAAAGAAAAAUAUAUUGACACACAUAUGAGCUAUUUUCAUAAACAAAAACUUAUUAAUGUAUGUAUUUCUCUCUCCUUUACUAUUUUCAAUGAAUUUUUAUUAUUAUUUUAAAAAUUUCCAGAUUGAAAUGUUAUUAAAAUAGAGUUUUGGAUCAAAACAUAAAUAUUUUGAAAUAAAAUGGUGUGAAAUGAACAUUUCUCAAAUAAAAAAACUUUAAAUUCUUGCUAUAUGUCAAUUUUGACUCUCCAAGUCCUAAAUUUUUAUAUGCAAUAAAAUAGGAUUCUAUUUUGUAAAAUCAAACAUAAGUAUAAUGUAGAGACAUUUAAUUUUCCAAAAAAAAUAAAAAUAAGGAGCCUUAGCCUCGAAGUUCAUCGGACCUACGUCAUAAUGUCUUCGUCAUUACCCGACACCAGCCACGCCUUCAAGUCGUCGUUGACUGAUCAGAAUAAUAAUUUCCUAGGUCGGUCGUGCAGGUAAUUUAAAGGAGCCUUAGCCUGGAAGUUCCAUCACAUAGCAACUGGGAUUGGCAAUUGUUCUAGCCUUUUGAGUAGUUCAUCACAUAGCUAGCUAUGGCCACCGAAGACGUUUCUCUCGACCUUUCAACGCUUCUUUCUUCAGAAGAGAGGGACUUUCUCAUCCGCAACAAUGGUGAUCAGGUACUGCUUCUCUGAUCUUAUUCAAGUCUUCUUCUUGUCUUAUUAUAAGUUGAUGCCUUUUAAUUUUUAUAUGAACUUGUAGGUUUUUCUCGUAAUUAAGACGAAUAUCAUGUUUAAAUUAGACUGCAAGCCUUGCUGAAGAACAAAUUUAUGACCAAUUUCUGAAGCUUUUUAAUGAUUAAGAAAAAGCUCCUUUUUUUGUGUUGCUUUUCUCACUGGCAAGAGAAAGAAACCAUGAAUAAAAUUGUGAUUCGUUAAGGGCUGAUUUUUUUCUGAUAAUGUUCGACAUUAAUUUUUAGGUUAAGGUCACAAUUUGGUUGGGAAGAUUGUGGGUUCUACUUCUCUGGUUCGUGGGCGCCCAUGCCGUAAUUUCACUCCUUUGUUGGUAGAAGUCUAUGAACAGCUAUAUCCAAAGGGACUUUGAGGUCUUCAUUUCUUCUGACAGAGAUGAUGAAUCCUUCAACACAUAUUUCUCCGAAAUGCCUGGCUUGCUAUUCCCUUCUCUGAUACGGAGGCCCGCAAACGUCUUAAGGAAGUGUUCAAAGUAGAGGGAUCCCUAUCUUGUCAUUUUUGAUUGCGAAUGGCAAGGUUCCUGCGAUGAUGGAUCAGCACUGUCAAGGAACAUGGCGUGGAUGGGUAUCCGUUCAACCUUGAUAGACUGAAUUUCCUGAAAGAGCAAGAAGAGAACGCUAAGAAGAAUCAAACAUAAGCUCUAUCUUGGUUUCAAGCUCACGUGAUUAUGUGAUUUCAAAUGAUGGAAAAAAGGUUAGAUGGUUCAUUCAAUUAGCUAGUUUUGAAAUUGAAUUGAUGAUGCCAUCAUUCACUUUUUGCCUUUUUGGCUAUCUGUAAUGGCAGAUCCCUGUGUUGGACCUUGAAGGAAAAUUGGUUGGCUUGUAUUUCUCAAUCCAUGCUCAUAGGAUGUGCCGUGAAUUCACUCCUAAACUAGUGAAUUACAAGCGCUCAAGGAAAAAGAGAGAACUUUGAAGUAGUCCUAAUAUCUCUAGACGAGGAAAAACACUUCAAAGAGAGUUUUGAGACAAUGCCUUGGUUGGCAUUGCCGUUUAAGGACAAGAGCUGCGAGAAGCUAGCGCGGUAUUUUGAACUUAGAACCAUUCCUAAUCUUGUCAUAAUUGGCCAAGAUGGGAAGACUUUGAACCCAAAUGUAGUUGAACUCAUCGAAGACCAUGGAAUUGAAGCCUACCCAUUUACACCGGAAAAGCUUGAGAGCUAGCUGCAAUUGAAAAGGCAAAACUGGAAUCGCAGACGCUUGAGUCAGUUUUGGUUAAUGGGGAAAAUGAUUUUGUGAUUGACAAAAGUGGAUCCAAGGUAAUUUUUUUGUUCUUGCUAACUCGCAUGUUGUUAUUCAUUACUUUCAAUAACUUGCUUAUUAUCUCGAAUUGAAUUCAUUAGCAAAGGUAUUUUUAUCAUUCAAAUGGUUUGCUCUUGAUUAGGUCCCAGUGUCUGAUCUAGUUGGAAAGAACAUUCUUCUUUACUUCUCAGCUCAAUGGUGCCCUCCAUGUCGUGCCUUUUUACCCAAGCUAAUUGAAGCAUACCACACAAUUAAAGAAAAGCAAUGCAUUUGAGGUGAUCUUCAUCUCAAGUGACAGCGAUCAAUCCACCUUUGACGAGUUCUAUUCAGAAAUGCCUUGGUUAGCCCUUCCAUUUGGUGAUGAAGGAAACAAAUCCUGAGUCGGAAAUUCAAAAUUCAAGGCAUUCCUGCAGCUGUAGCGAUUGGCCAAGUGGCCGGACCAUUACCAAGGAAGCUCGGAUGCACCUGACAGCUUACGGGGCAGAUGCUUUUCCAUUUACCGAGGAACAUCUAAAGCAAUUGGAGGAGGAGAUUGAGGAAAAGGCAAAGGGGUGGCCAGAGAAAGUGAAACACGAACUUCAUACUGAGCAUGAGCUGAUACGUACUAAACGCAAAACAUAUAUUUGCAAUGGCUGUAGGGAAACAGGGUAUAGUUGGUCUUUCUAUUGCAAACAAUGUGACUUUGAUCUUCACCCCAAGUGUGCUUUGAAGGAAGAUGAUGAUGCUGGAACUGAAAAGGGAAAGGAAGGAAUGAUCUGCGAUGGAGAUGUGUGCCGCAGAGCUUAAGCAGGCAAGCGCUACUGGUAUCUGGUUUUAUGGGCUUUCUACUAUAAUAAGUUUGCGAUGUAAGGUGUUUGUUGCAUGUGUGUGAAGAUAGUGGAUGUCUUUCCUGUUAUGUGUAUAUGUAAUUAAGAGGUGUGUUGCUGAGGGAUUUUCAUGCCCUGUAUCUCGAUACCAAAAAUAAAUAAC
rnacentral:lncRNA from 1 species